rnacentral:tRNA from 1 species
GCCCAGGGGCAAAGCCCCGCGUAAGCCUCGUAAGCGGGAGGUCCCGGGUUCGAAUCCCGGCCGGGGCU